rnacentral:rRNA from 1 species
GACGAACGCUGGCGGCGUGCUUAACACAUGCAAGUCGAACGGUAAGGCCCUUCGGGGUACACGAGUGGCGAACGGGUGAGUAACACGUGGGUGAUCUGCCCUGCACUUCGGGAUAAGCCUGGGAAACUGGGUCUAAUACCGGAUAGGACCACUGCCUGCAUGGGCGGUGGUGGAAAGCUUAUGCGGUGUGGGAUGGGCCCGCGGCCUAUCAGCUUGUUGGUGGGGUGAUGGCCUACAAAGGCGACGACGGGUAGCCGGCCUGAGAGGGUGACCGGCCACACUGGGACUGAGAUACGGCCCAGACUCCUACGGGAGGCAGCAGUGGGGAAUAUUGCACAAUGGGCGCAAGCCUGAUGCAGCGACGCCGCGUGAGGGAUGACGGCCUUCGGGUUGUAAACCUCUUUCAGCACAGACGAAGCGCAAGUGACGGUAGGUGCAGAAGAAGGACCGGCCAACUACGUGCCAGCCGCCGCGGUAA